AUCUGUCUUAGACCUAUUGGAAUCCUGGAUCACUGUGGGAAAUGAAAGGAACUGGUUUUUAGCAAGGAGACCAAGAAACUCUACUCCCUAGGGGCUAGCAAUGAGAGAAAGGAAGCCUUAAGUCUUUGAGCACAGGGUGACAGUUUGGGUCCUAUGUGAGAUGAUCAAAUCCACAGCAACAGAGGAAAGGACAAAAGGAAAAGAUACUUCGAUGGAAUCAGCAGCCAUUGUUGAUCCAAUGCCAACUCCAAGACUGGAACGUCGCAAUGAUAGUUCCAAGGCGGAAAUUUGACGUAAUUCUUUUCGACACAGUUUUACAGGUCUGGAUGCCCAUUUUAAUUCUUCUGAAAGCAUGCCUCCUCCUUCUGGCUUCAGGACUCCAUCUCCAGCCUCUUGAUCUAAAAGUAAUCCCCAAACCAAAAAAUUAGAUACUAUUUCCUCAAAAUUAGGUAUUUUAAUCAAAACAUCUUAACAUAAAUACAUUAUUGUCACCCAAUA
rnacentral:antisense_RNA from 1 species